AUUGAACGCUGGCGGCAGGCCUAACACAUGCAAGUCGAACGAGUGGCGGACGGGUGAGUAAUGUCUGGGAAACUGCCUGAUGGAGGGGGAUAACUACUGGAAACGGUAGCUAAUACCGCAUACCAUCAGAUGUGCCCAGCUGGGAUUAGCUUGUUGGUGGGGUAACGGCUCACCAAGGCGACGAUCCCUAGCUGGUCUGAGCGGAUGACCAUCCACACUGGAACUGAGACACGGUCCAACCGCCUACGGUACGCAGCAGUGGGGAUUAUUGCACGAUUGGCGCAAGCCUGAUGCAGCCAUGCCGCGUGUAUGAUGAAGGCCUUCGGGUUUUAAAGUACUUUCAGCGGGGAGGCGUUACCCGCAGAAGAAGCACCGGCUAACUCCGUGCCAGCAGCCGCGGUAAUUC
rnacentral:rRNA from 1 species